rnacentral:rRNA from 1 species
GCGUGAGUGAAGAAGGCCUUCGGGUUGUAAAGCUCUUUCGGCGGGGACGAUAAUGACGGUACCCGCAGAAGAAGCCCCGGCUAACUCCGUGCCAGCAGCCGCGGUAAUACGGAGGGGGCUAGCGUUGUUCGGAAUCACUGGGCGUAAAGCGCACGUAGGCGGCUAAUCAAGUCAGGGGUGAAAGCCUGGAGCUUAACUCCAGAACUGCCUUUGAAACUGAUUGGCUUGAACACGGGAGAGGUAAGUGGAAUUCCGAGUGUAGAGGUGAAAUUCGU